AGCACUUUAGCCCAGUUGGAAGAGCGUCGGACUCAUAAUCCGAAGGACGUAAGAUCAAAACUUACAAGUGCUA
rnacentral:tRNA from 1 species